UUCAAAAGCAUUUUUUUCUACACACAAAAAAAAAAAACGCAUCAAACACCUUUACUCUUUAAUCAUUUGUCUCAGCCACAUUAGCUUGUCUUACAAGACGGUGGUUCACUCCUUUCCUCAAAGAUUGAUCUGGCUCAGCCACUAUUGUCUGUCUUAGAAGAGGGUUCACUCCUUUCCUCGAAGAUUAACUUGGCUAGAGAACAAUUGGAUGUCUUACAAGUGUUUUCACUCCAUUUUGCGAAGAUUGACCUGGUUCGGGACCAAUUGGAUGUCUUACAAAAGAUUCAGAGCUCUUCAAAUUUGUUUCAAUAGGGAAAUCUUCAAAUUCAAAACCAAUGUUGUGUAUUCUUCAGGAAAUCUUCCAUUCACCCUUGAAGCAGUUAGUCAGCAAAAGAGAGCCUGUUUGUGCCAUAACAGAUCUGUGAUUGUUGUACCUCGAAUGAAACACACGUCACUGUCUGCUAAGCUUCACUAAGAGAGCAGGGGGGUCCUAGGCACUUCACAGUUGAUGGUUGUUUGGUGUAAAUUGGCUUCACAUGCUUCUCCAGUUUUAUCCAAAUCUGGGUUUCUUGGAAGUUCUUUUCAUAAUCUGCAUAACAGUAAACAUAAUAUUAGAAAUGAUAUAGUCUAUGGAUGGCUUGAUAAACUCAAAUUUGUUACUAAAUCUUGUCCUCCAUAUUUCCCAACAAACAAUAGGAAGAUCUUAGUAAUGUAGUUGGCAAAAGGAUUAAGGGAUUGGGAUUCCACCAAUUAAGUAAAAUCAUCUUCAAGUUUAAUCUUGGUGACAGGUCAAAGGAAUUAAGAAUUCUGAAGAAUCUUGAAAUGAUUAGCCUGUGCUGCGAGGAAAUAAUAUAUUAUUUCCAUAAAGAAGAAGCUCUCUAAGGUACUCAAUUCUUUGCAGGGAUUGCUCAUAUACCUCGAUGGUCAGAAAUAUAUGGUUGUUGUUCCACUGAAAAGGCGUAGAGGCAAACCGUUAAAAAAGGUUUGUUAUCAUCAUAUUCUUAAGUGCAAUAGAACGCCUCAUUUUACUGUCCUUUGUUUGGUAUGAAAUACAGCUAAUAGAU